rnacentral:rRNA from 1 species
AUUGAACGCUGGCGGCAUGCCUUACACAUGCAAGUCGAACGGCAGCACGGGAGCUUGCUCCUGGUGGCGAGUGGCGAACGGGUGAGUAAUGCAUCGGAACGUACCCGGAAGUGGGGGAUAACGUAGCGAAAGUUACGCUAAUACCGCAUAUUCUGUGAGCAGGAAAGAGGGGGAUCGCAAGACCUCCCGCUUUCGGAGCGGCCGAUGUCGGAUUAGCUAGUUGGUGGGGUAAAGGCCUACCAAGGCGACGAUCCGUAGCGGGUCUGAGAGGAUGAUCCGCCACACUGGAACUGAGACACGGUCCAGACUCCUACGGGAGGCAGCAGUGGGGAAUUUUGGACAAUGGGCGAAAGCCUGAUCCAGCCAUGCCGCGUGAGUGAAGAAGGCCUUCGGGUUGUAAAGCUCUUUCGGCUGAAAAGAAAUCGCACAGGCUAAUACCUUGUGUGGAUGACGGUAUCAGCAAAAGAAGCACCGGCUAACUACGUGCCAGCCGCCGCCGUAA